UACGUAGGGUGCGAGCGUUGUCCGGAAUUAUUGGGCGUAAAGAGCUUGUAGGCGGUUUGUCGCGUCUGCUGUGAAAUUUCGGGGCUCAACCCCGAACUUGCAGUGGGUACGGGCAGACUAGAGUGUGGUAGGGGAGAUUGGAAUUCCUGGUGUAGCGGUGGAAUGCGCAGAUAUCAGGAGGAACACCAAUGGCGAAGGCAGAUCUCUGGGCCGUAACUGACGCUGAGGAGCGAAAGCAUGGGGAGCGAACAGG
rnacentral:rRNA from 1 species